UUGCCCUACGGGGCGCAGCAGUGGGGGAUAUUGCACAAUGGGGGGAACCCUGAUGCAGCGACGCCGCGUGGGUGAAGGAGUGCUUCGGCAUGUAAAGCCCUAUCGGCAGGGAAGAAGCAAGACGGUACCUGACUAAGAAGCCCCGGCUAACUACGUGCCAGCAGCCGCGGUAAUACGUAGGGGGCGAGCGUUAUCCGGAUUCACUGGGGGUAAAGGGAGCGUAGACGGCAAGCAAGCCAGGGGUGAAAGCCCGGGGCCCAACCCCGGGACUGCCCUUGGAACGGCAUGGCUGGAGUGAGGGAGGG
rnacentral:rRNA from 1 species